CAGUCGCCGCGGUAAUACGAAGGGUGCAAGCGUUAAUCGGAAUUACUGGGCGUAAAGCGCACGUAGGCGGAUCGAUCAGUCAGGGGUGAAAUCCCAGAGCUCAACUCUGGAACUGCCUUUGAUACUGUCGAUCUGGAGUAUGGAAGAGGUGAGUGGAAUUCCGAGUGUAGAGGUGAAAUUCGUAGAUAUUCGGAGGAACACCAGUGGCGAAGGCGGCUCACUGGUCCAUUACUGACGCUGGGGUGCGAAAGCGUGGGGAGCAAACAGGAUUAGAUACCCCCGUAGUCCCUGUCUCUUAUAC
rnacentral:rRNA from 1 species